rnacentral:rRNA from 1 species
GCUAAAUACCUGACUGGCUGGAUCAUUUUUGGGCUCUUUACAGAUUUAUCGACUUCAAAUGGUUAUCUCAUAGUUGAAGCAAAUGGUGGUCUGAAUCAACAGUGUCUUUUUAUCUGCGAUGCAGUUGUUGUGGCCAGCUUGCUUAAUGCAACUCUUGUGAUCCCAAUAUUUCAUUUGAAUAGCGUUUGGCGCGAUCCUAGCAAAUUUAGUGAUAUUUUUGAUGAAGAUCGUUUUAUCGGGACACUCAGACAACAUGUAAGAGUUGUGAAGGAACUCCCAAAAGAUGUUCUACUGCGUUUCAAUCAUAAUAUAAGAAGCAUACCAAAUAUGCGAACUAAAGCCUACUCAUCCCCAGAUCAAUUAUUUGUUACACAUCGAGGCGCCAUAUUAGUGUUUCUUAUUAUCUACCUUGAUGCCAUACUAAUUUCUGUGAUUCCAAAAUUGCUGGCACCACUUCCUGUUGCCUGUUGGUGCAAGGACCCAUGCCUUCCAUCUGAGAAAUGUAAAGGAUGGAUCAAUUGGCAUUGUCAGCUCAUGUUUAGUUCUUUGUCUCUCAGACGACAUGCAUCUCUCAACACAAUCCUAGGUUAA